UACGUAGGUGGCAAGCGUUGUCCGGAUUUACUGGGCGUAAAGAGCGCGCAGGCGGUCGUGCAAGUCGCGUGUGAAAGCCCCCGGCUCAACUGGGGAGGGUCACGCGAUACUGCUCGACUCGAAGGCAGGAGAGGGAAGUGGAAUUCCCGGUGUAGUGGUGAAAUGCGUAGAUAUCGGGAGGAACACCAGCGGCGAAGGCGACUUCCUGUCCUGUUCUUGACGCUGAGGCGCGAAAGCUAGGGUAGCAAACGGG
rnacentral:rRNA from 1 species